UACAGAGGUCCCAAGCGUUGUUCGGAUUCACUGGGCGUAAAGGGUGCGUAGGCGGUCGGGUAAGUCUGAUGUGAAAUCUCCAAGCUUAACUUGGAAAUGGCAUUGGAUACUAUUCGGCUAGAGGGUUUGAGGGGGGACUGGAAUACUUGGUGUAGCAGUGAAAUGCGUAGAUAUCAGGAGGAACACCAAUUGCGAAGGCAGCUCGCUGGGACGUAACUGACGCUGAGGAGCGAAAGCGUGGGGAGCGAACAGG
rnacentral:rRNA from 1 species